rnacentral:rRNA from 1 species
CCUACGGGAGGCAGCAGUGAGGAAUAUUGGUCAAUGGGCGAGAGCCUGAACCAGCCAAGUCGCGUGAAGGAUGAAGGAUCUAUGGUUUGUAAACUUCUUUUAUAUGGGAAUAAAGUGCGGAACGUGUUCCUUUUUGUAUGUACCAUAUGAAUAAGCAUCGGCUAACUCUGUGCCAGCAGCCGCGGUAAUACGGAGGAUGCGAGCGUUAUCCGGAUUUAUUGGGUUUAAAGGGUGCGUAGGUGGUUAAUUAAGCCAGCGGUGAAAGGUGGUGGCUCAACCAUAAAAUUGCCGUUGAAACUGGUUGACUUGAGUAUAUUUGAGGUAGGCGGAAGGCGUGGUGUAGCGGUGAAAUGCAUAGAUAUCACGCAGAACUCCGAUUGCGAAGGCAGCUUACUAAACUAUAACUGACACUGAAGCACGAAAGCGUGGGGAUCAAACAGGAUUAGAUACCCCUGUAGUC